rnacentral:lncRNA from 1 species
AAACAAGCUUCACACAGUUUACAUCAAUCAUAUUGUUUUUUUUUAUUAGUACCUGUUUCCCUGUGAUGAGAGUUGUAACUGGGAACUUUAUCAAUGGAAAGUUAAAACUGAAUAGAUUUUUCAGUCCAAACUUUCUUAAGAAAAAACUUAAAAAUCUAAGAGUACUGUCACAAAAAAUGGAAAAUGGCCCUAGCCUGCAGUUCAGUGGUACACAAUUAAGAUUUCAAAAAAUAUUGUAGUUGUUGUGAAAUGACAGAAUUCGGUUGAAAUUUAGAUAAUUAACUAUCAACUUUAAUCAUAUGUUUAGAUUUAGAAGAUGCAGAUCUCUUCCAUUGGUCCAAAUUGAAUCCUAAACUAAGGAAACGAAAUUACAUUAAACAACAAUUGAUUUCAAUAUCGUCAACCUUUCUACAUGUUCUAGCUGUUCUUUUUUUCAUUCUUUAUAUGAAGACUAUCAAAAGAUACCCCCCCCCCCCCUUUUCCAAAAAAAUUAAUUAAAUAGAAACAAGGGCCGUCUUUCCCCUCAGAGCUAUUCAGCUCUUUGAUU